rnacentral:rRNA from 1 species
CGUGUAGGUGGUUGACUAGGUUUGAUGUGAAAUCCCCGGGCUUAACCUGGGAAUUGCGUCGAAAACGGGUCGACUGGAGUGAGAUAGAGGGUUGUGGAAUUUCCGGUGUAGCGGUGAAAUGCGUAGAUAUCGGAAAGAACAUCAGUGGCGAAGGCGACAACCUGGAUCUUAACUGACACUGAGGCGCGAAGGCGUGGGGAGCAAACA